rnacentral:rRNA from 1 species
UGGGCAACCUGCCCCUCUCUCUGGGAUAACCCCGGGAAACCGGAGCUAAUACCGGAUACUCCGGCUGGAUCGCAUGGUCCGGCCGGGAAAGGUCCGCCGGAGAGGGAUGGGCCCGCGGCCUAUCAGCUUGUUGGUGAGGUAACGGCCCACCAAGGCGACGAUGCGUAGCUGGUCUGAGAGGACGAUCAGCCACACUGGGACUGAGACACGGCCCAGACUCCUACGGGAGGCA